UUUAAGUGUAUUGAAGCUAAAGCAACUAAGUGUGCAGGAGAGUUGGUUUAAUACUAACAUGGUAACCCAGGGGCAGGAGAAAAACAAGACAGACAAACACAAAGCCGAAUGUAGGCUUGUUUGAUUUACCUGCUUCUGUGCAGAAAAGUGUAUUGCACUGUACUUCAGGUAUUUGCAUUGAGAUACCCGACCAGAAGUACACCGCCCUAGACUUUUCUGCACCGGUGCAGGUAAAUCAAACGAGCCUUGUAAGCAGUCAUCCAGCUAGCAUCGUAUCACACUGUGGCAGAAAUUUGUAGCAUAAUACCUCUAAUAAACAAAUAAAAAUAACUAAUUGGUUUUCUUUUUUUUUCUUUUUAGGAAGAUGGGGGGUUUGAGCAUAAAGAAGAUGCAGUCUUCAGAUGGUGUCUUGACUUCAAGUUGCAGCAAGCGGCGUCGAAUUUUAACAUACAUUUCCGCAGACCCAAGGGCUCAAGAACGCCGCAAACACAAUCCACAUUUGAACGACGCACUAAAAAAAGGCUUCUGUGGCUACCGGACAGAUUAUUUACAGACCCUGGAGUGUCGAGAAGGGGGUGUUUAAUGUCACUCCCAAAUGCGUUGAAAUGUUGGGCCCAGUUUGACUGCUAGCUUAUAUCAAAGGACGCACACGAUGGUCACCGACAGGAAGAGGAUGGCAGAGCAUAUCUUGACGCGCAUCGGCUGCACGUGCGCACUCGACGCUUGCGGAAGACAUUGAAGCGUCGUCGAAGGCCGGAACCUUGCAUUGGAGGCGGGACAGCUGAAGGACCCUCCUGCCUUUUUAGACCCAUUUGCGACUAUAGCUGUGGGAAGCAAAGCCACCUUGGUAAAUCCAAGGCAAAGCAUCGGCCUAUGGACCCUGAGGAACCGACCCCUCUUUGGUUUCGACGGUGAACGUGGCAGUGCGCAGGACGAGAGGCCACCCCUGCUCCUCGUGCAGCUACGUGGCCCGGUAUGCGAGCGUGCUCAAGGUGCACGAACGCUGCCACAACGGAGAGCGCCCGUACGAGUGCCCCCUGUGCCCCCAGUCGUUCGUGCACCGGGGCGACUUGAACCGCCACACCAUGUGGCACUCGGGCGAGCGGCCUUUCUACUGUCCUGAGUGCGGCCAGCGGUUCACGCGCACCCAUCACCUCAGGGUACACCGCCGCAAACACUUGCAUCCGGAAAUGGACUGAAAAAGAACGUUCAGGUGCCGGUUUACGGUGAAUCGUGCAUCCUCAUCACCGGGCUGCCAUGUUUGGUCGUCAUAUCUGAGUACUGCGGAGUGAACUGCGGCGGCUGGCAAUGCUCGUUUUCCACGUAGUCGUCGCCACCUUGAAUCGUGAAACUUCCGACAGGGGGGGGGGGGGGAAACAUUGUUUUGCCCGUGCCGGGCGACUGGAAGGUGUUCACGUUUUUAUCAAGGCUGUCGGUCGUCUUUUGUUUUUGCCUCUUCUAUAUUUUCCUAUUCUUUCCUGGUUGCAAUGACUCACUCUUUUUUGUCCCACCAUUCGGAGUACGCAAACUAUGUGGUUGAGGACGAGGUUAAACGGAAAAAAGUCUGACUUUCCCAGAAAUGUGCGGUUCCCCCCUCUCUUCCGUAACCUGUUUGAUGCAUUGCAAAAUUUCGAUGUUAUCAUGUAGGGCACACGAGAUUAUUCGUGAAUCGAAGACUGUGUUGAUGAUUUCUGAAUGUAAAGAAGGCAGAAAGAAAGCAAAGCAGAGAAUCUGAUGAUUUUCUUUUGUGUUCGCUCUAUUUUUUUGUACCUCCCGAGCCCCUGGUGAUAAGAAAUGGAGUCUUGCUUCUUCAAGGAUGUAUGAAACAUUCAAGUCGGCAUGAGCGUAUAUCAGAACAGUCCCACAAAUACCUUUGCCGCGAGAUCGCCUGGGAUUUUCCCGAUAGGUCGAUUAGCCACAGUAGUUUUGUUUGAAAUAUUUGUUUCUGGGAACUGAGUCACCUGUGUGCUCUGAGCUGAAUUUUUGCUCCGGUCCAUCGAUAAUUGGAUGCAUGUUUCUGUGGAUGCUUCUGGGUGUUUCGAAGUGGACUAUUUUUAGCCUCUGCGGCGGCGUGCUCCCAUCUGUAUCUUUCUAGACGUCUGAUGCUGCACUGAGUUGAGUGGUCUGGGACCUGUAGUUGUUUCUUUUGUGCAUUAUAGAGCGAAUGUAUACUAUUUUGGGCAAGUCAAACAAUGCCCUCAUCCGAGGUAAGGUGAUGUGAUUAUGCUAGCACCUUUUCCUUUCAUUUUAAAUUUCAUGUGGUGAUUAUUAUAGGGGAUUGUCACUAGCUAGCCCUUGUCGGCACAUUUUUAGUAAGUAUUGUAAUGUGCUUGUUUAACUGGGACCAACUGGAAUCGCAGCUAGACAUAUGUCAUAAAUGUUGUGCAUACCCUUUUCUAGCCGUUUCUAGGUCUACCAGUCCGUGUAAAGGAAGUUACUCACAUGUGCAGACAAGUUGAUUGCUUCGUUAAUAAAAUGCUGAGCUCACUUUA